GUGGGGAAUCUUGCGCAAUGGGCGAAAGCCUGACGCAGCCAUGCCGCGUGGAUGAUGAAGGUCUUAGGAUUGUAAAAUCCUUUCACCGGUGAAGAUAAUGACUGUAGCCGGAGAAGAAGCCCCGGCUAACUUCGUGCCAGCAGCCGCGGUAAUACGAAGGGGGCUAGCGUUGCUCGGAUUUACUGGGCGUAAAGGGCGCGUAGGCGGACAUUUAAGUCAGGGGUGAAAUCCCGGGGCUCAACCUCGGAACUGCCUUUGAGACUGGGUGUCUUGAGUAUGAGAGAGGUGUGUGGAACUCCGAGUGUAGAGGUGAAAUUCGUAGAUAUUCGGAAGAACACCAGUGGCGAAGGCGACACACUGGCUCAUUACUGACGCUGAGGCGCGAAAGCGUGGGGAGCAAACAGGAUUAGAUACCCCGGUAGUCC
rnacentral:rRNA from 1 species